AGCCAAUCCAAAAUAAAUGAAUUUGAAAAAUUCUUCAUCCAAUUCAAACAAUUAAAGAAUAAUCUAAUAAAUAUCUUAAAAAUCCAUAGAUGUAUCGAUUCAUAAUCAUAGAACUAAAAAAAGAAGAAAAAAAAAUCCCCUCAAACCAUAUGUUGAUUAAUAGUUGGUGUUAGAUGAAUAAGGAAAAUUGUUAAAACGAAAAAAUGAACAGAUAAAAUGUGGAUAGAAAGAGAUGAGUUGGAGAUGCAAAAAAAUCUUUAGAAGGAAUGUGAUUGGCUAACUAAAGCCUCUCAUUACCCCACAAAAUUUCUCAAUCUUCCAUUCUUCACCACUCAUCUUCCUCAUUUCCCCAUAAUAUUUCCCCACUUUCCCCUCUGUCUCUCACAACUGCAACUGUACUGGCCCUUCCUCUGUUCUUUCUCACAAACUCAAAACAGAGCCUCAACUAGCAAUGGCCGCCGCCACCGCCACCUCCGCCACCCUCCUCCGGGCCACCCCUUUUCUCGGCCAGACCAGAGGCUCUUCCCAGAACUCCCUCAGAGAUGUCGUCGCCAUGGGAACUGGCAAAUACACCAUGGGAAAUGAUCUGUGGUAUGGACCAGACAGAGUGAAGUACUUGGGGCCAUUUUCAGCUCAGACACCAUC